UGCCCUUGAAGCAGCACAGUGGAAUAAAGUGCGAGCAGCCAUACGUACAUGCUCACUCUCAUCUUGCCAGAAACUCACCAAAAGCUGCAGUAAAGGUGGUUUUAUAUCUGGAAUUUGGUCAGCAAAAUUCCGGGUGUAAAAUGCUGCUAAAGCCCUGCUGGCUGCUGAACUGGAGGGAGACAAGCUAAUCAUGCCUUGGGCGAUUGACACCAUCGUCAGUGAUCUCAUAGCACAAAACUCGGAUGAUGAUUUCCACAGCUCAAGAGCAGCACUCAAACCAGGAAAAGUAAGGGUUAAAGACCCUUUGUCCCCUUGCAAACCAGAAGCUAAAAUAAAAUUCUCUGGUCUCUUUAGCUUCAUGUCCAUCAUUAGCAAUUUAUCAAGCUCACUAUCUACAUUCCACAAAUGUAAAAUAGAUAAACUAAAUCUAAGUAGUAAUUCUUCUAGUGACCUAAUCCAAUCCUGCCCCUCUACAGCAUCAAUAGAGAUCCCAUUCUUAUCACAACUAUCAUCAAUGGAUACAUGGUGGGGACUUGGGGUAUUUGUUCCCUGUUCCUUAACAUUGGUAUUCUCCAGCUUAUCACUGCCAUUUGCUACAGACUCACGCUUCUGACAAGAAAACAUCAAUGAUGCAAGGUCAAAAGUGAGAGUAGCAAUCCCAGGAAAUGGACAAGUGCAUCUAAUGGGA
rnacentral:misc_RNA from 1 species